rnacentral:rRNA from 1 species
AAUAGAUACCCAGGUAGUCCACGCCGUAAACGAUGAAUGCUAGGUGUUAGGGGUUUCGAUACCCUUGGUGCCGAAGUUAACACAUUAAGCAUUCCGCCUGGGGAGUACGGCCGCAAGGCUGAAACUCAAAGGAAUUGACGGGGACCCGCACAAGCAGUGGAGUAUGUGGUUUAAUUCGAAGCAACGCGAAGAACCUUACCAGGUCUUGACAUCCCCCUGACCGGUACAGAGAUGUACCUUUCCUUCGGGACAGGGGAGACAGGUGGUGCAUGGUUGUCGUCAGCUCGUGUCGUGAGAUGUUGGGUUAAGUCCCGCAACGAGCGCAACCCUUGACUUUAGUUGCCAGCAGGUAAGGCUGGGCACUCUAGAGUGACUGCCGGUGACAAACCGGAGGAAGGUGGGGAUGACGUCAAAUCAUCAUGCCCCUUAUGACCUGGGCUACACACGUACUACAAUGGCCGGUACAACGGGAAGCGAAGGAGCGAUCUGGAGCGAAUCCUUUAAAGCCGGUCUCAGUUCGGAUUGCAGGCUGCAACUCG